rnacentral:rRNA from 1 species
AUGGAUUUAUUGGAUUGGGAGAUUAACUCUUUUGUGUUUACCUUAAUACGACGAGGGGAAAGAGGGGGAUACGAGGCGAGGACUUACCACCGGGGAGAAGCCCAGUACGGCGGAGGAGUGCCGAAUAUAGAACUAUUUUCAAAGUUGGUGAACUGUUUUCAAAAUGGGGUGCGGCCCGGAACGCCCCACCACUCGCGCCGCCCAUCGGCGUUGUGGCGGCCCCGCGGGAUGACGCCGUUGGUGGAGGCGAUCUGCUCCUCGCGGCGGCGCUCGAAGUACAUCAGGGGAGAGUACUGCUGCUUACUGCGCCGGAGAGGGGGGGAAAUGAGAGCUGUGGCGUCCACCGGCGAGGAGAUUGAAGAUACGAACAAAGAAUUUCCAGUGGCUUCAGAAAGAGCUAGAUUGGUUUUUGGAGUCCAUAUGUCGACUCUUCCUGCAUUAAGGAAGUAUGUAUUGACAUGCCCAAGCAUUCAAUAUGGUGAACUGUUGAUAAGUUGUGGUUUACUUGGAGAAGCCCUGAAUGUUUUCAAAGAUCUUGAAUUGUGGGAUAAUCUCAUCUAUUGCUAUCGAUUAUCGGGUAAACUUGCUGAUGCAGUUAGUCUAAUAAAUACACGGCUCUCCAUUACACCCAAUGACCCAAAAUUAUGGUGUUCACUUGGUGAUGCUACAAAUAACGACAAUCAUUAUAAGAAAGCAUUGGAAGUCUCCAAUAACAAAUCUGCUCGAGCUCUGCGUUCUCUGGCUCGUAGUGCGUACAACAAGAAUGACUUCUAUACAUCCAAAAUUCUUUGGGAAUCUGCAUUGGCAUUGAAUUCGUUGUAUCCAGAUGGCUGGUUUGCCUAUGGUACAACUGCAUGGAAGGAUAAAGAUCUUGAGAAGGCUUUGGAUGCUUUUAGUCGUGCUGUGCAGAUAGAUCCUGAAAAUGGAGAAGCAUGGAACAAUAUAGCCUGCCUGCACAUGAUUAGAGGGAAGAGUCAAGCGUCAGUCCAGUCAUUCAGGGAAGCUGUUAAGUUCAAGAGGAAUAGUUGGCAAGUUUGGGACAAUUACAGUAAGGUUGCUUUGGACACAGGCAAUAUUCGACUGCGCUUCAAUGUUGAUUUAUUGGACAAGGUGAUGACCACCCUUGAAGAACAAGCUACUCAUCUUAAUGACACUCAAGAAGCUAAAUCCAUGGGCAACACUUCAGAUGAUUCAAAUAAAGAGACCAAGCAGUCGAGUCAAUUAUUAGAUAUAAUUGGUGAUAUCCUUGAGCAGAUUGUACAAAAUGGGGCUAGCGUUCCAGAGAUAUGUGGAUUAUGUGCUAGAUACCAUAAGAGCAAGGGCGACCUCGUGGAAUGUUCUAAAGCUUUGCGCAAUCAAGUUCAAUAUCUAAAGGGUUCAGAAUUAUGUCAUAACCAUAAGAAGUUCAAAAAGUUUGCUCAAGCUUCUUUGCAGCUUUGCAAGUCCUACAUGGAAAUGUCAUCCACGACAGGAACAAAACGAGAAUUAUUGUUAGCUGAGAUGCAUCUUAAAAGCUCCUUGAAAGAGGCCAUGGACUUCGUAGAUUCAGAGGAGUAUAAACAACUUGCUGACUGCCUUGUUGAAUUAAAGGACCUGAUUGGUGCUGCCUAG